GCAAGAGUGGCCGAUCAGGCAAAAGACUGUAAAUCUUUCAAUGGCCCAAAAGCCCAUUGCAC
rnacentral:tRNA from 1 species